CGGGGACAAGGCAAUACUUUUCUCCUCCUGCAGGGAGAAGCAAGGGAAAGGAGGUGCACCUGAACGGAGGAGCAAUGGACCAGCAGGACUAUUCUAUUUUAUGGGAGAUAGCACACCUAGGCACGCUCAUGUGAUGGUCAAGGUGGAGGACGAAGAAGACAACGGGACAGCAUAGAAGUAGAAAGAUAAAUGUGGAAGAUCUGCCCAAACCGCCCAGCAUUCUUUCUCUGAAAUGCCGUGGUUCUCACUGUAUCUCCGGUAUGCUGGCUGAACAACUGUUCUGCAGACUCCCAUUGACUCUAGAAACAUCUGAGAAGAAAAGAGAGAAUGUUCCCAGGCUGUCCAGUGACUGGUUGCAUGAGAGAGGGCAAGGAGGGGCAUUCUUUAUUGGAUUAGAUGCUGGCUUGAGUCUACACACCACCAAACAAUUGGCUAAAGAUGUCAAGUUUCCCUAACUCCAUGCUCAAAGAUACCGUGCAGAACAAACAUUUAAAUUCCUGGUGGAUCCCCCACCCCACCUCCCCCGUUUCCUUCCAGAUGUUUGGCAUGGCACAGAUGGCACAGAA
rnacentral:lncRNA from 1 species